rnacentral:piRNA from 1 species
UACCACAUAAUUGUCAGCGGGUCC